rnacentral:rRNA from 1 species
CCCUUAGAUGUUCUGGGCCGCACGCGUGCUACACUGAGUGGAUCAGCGGGUCAGGUUGCGCGAAAGUGUUUCCUAAUCUUUAAAUCCGCUCGUGAUGGGGAUUGACGGUUGCAAUUUUCCGUCAUGAACGAGGAAUACCUUGUAAGCGCGGGUCAUCAUCCCGCGCUGAAUACGUCCCUGCCCUUUGUACACACCGCCCGUCGCUACUACCGAUCGAGCGCCCUAGCGAGGUCGUCCGAUUGUCGCCGAGGCCGGCUUUCGCGAGCUGCGCAUCCGACGAAAAGGCGAUCGAACUCGAGCGCUUAGAGGAAGUAAAAGUCGUAACA